ACCUAGAACACUAGAAUAGGAAGUGUCAGUAGAAGGAAGGGUAUAACAAAAACUGUGGUAUAUUUCACACAGUAGAAUAUCAUUCACCAAGAAAUAGAAAAUAACUACUGACACACUCAAGAAGAUAUUAAUCACAAAAACAUACAAUGUGAAAGAAUUACUCAAACAUCUAAAGGUGCAGGGGUGUCCAUAUUCCAGGACUUCUACCUUGAGGGGAGACACAAGCUUUUCUUGGCUGGUGCGAGAACUCAGCUGCUCCUUCCAGCUCCUGAGAGAAUGCGCCUGGAGGGAGGGGAAGGGUUUGCCAGAGAAUCUGCAGAUCUGGUGAUAAAUAGAGGUCAGAAUCAAGUCCUAGAGACCCAUCUGCAGCAGCCUUUGCUGGAACGUACUUCACUGUUGUUCCUGCACUUUUUACCUGGACAGAGCAACAGGAUGCACUUCCAUGAACAAAUCACCAACAAAUGAGCUACACACACAUAGAGGACCAGGGGCUCACAGUGGUGGCCAUCAGGCAGGCAAACAGGACGGUGUUUGAGGCAUAAUGGAAGCACAGAGGGUUGAGGAAGGUCAUGCCCAAAAUGCUUUGUAGCAACCCUGGCAGGGAUGGGAAGGGUGAGGAUCAGGCUUAACACCAAAGCUGGGAUGAGGCAAGCUUUUUCACAAAUGCAUGAUCACAGCAGCUGGGUCACCCUGAGCACCAACAGUGACCUGUUUGGCCAUCAUUCCUGAAAAGAGAUCCUUUUGUGAACUCUCUCCAUCUCUUUUGACAUCAACAUUAAAAAAAUUACUAAACUAAAAAAUUUACUAAACUGAGACAGUGAAAACUA